rnacentral:misc_RNA from 1 species
CGUCAUUACACCUCUCGAGCUCAGCUCGGUAUUGAGGGUCGUCCCCCGGGGCGCUCUCGAAAUUUAGCGGUGACUUGGUUGGUCUUCGAGCGAAUAAAACAUUAACGCGUUCCGCUUGAGAAGAUCAAGACGGGUCUGCCGGACAAACCCCAUAAUCUACGAUUGACCUCGGAUCAGGUAGGGAUACCCGCUGAACUUAA